UACCAGCUCUCCGAGUGGUGUGGAUGUUUAUUGGGCCUAAAGCAUCCGUAGCUGGCUGGACAAGUCCCCUGUUAAAUCCACCGAUUUAAUCGUUGGUGUGCGGGGGAUACUGUUCGGCUAGGGGACGGGAGAGGCAGACGGUAUUUUCGGGGUAGGGGUGAAAUCCUAUAAUCCCGGGAAGACCACCAGUGGCGAAGGCUGUCUGCUAGAACGCGCCCGACGGUGAGGGAUGAAAGCUGGGGGAGCGAACCGGAUUAGAUACCCGGGUAGUCCCAGCUGUAAACGAUGCAGGCUAGGUGUUUGGGCGGCCACGUGCCGCUCUAGUGCCGCAGGGAAGCCGUUAAGCCUGCCGCCUGGGGAGUACGGCCGCAAGGCUGAAACUUAAAGGAAUUGGCGGGGGAGCACCACAAGGGGUGAAGCUUGCGGUUU
rnacentral:rRNA from 1 species